AUUUAGCCCGGAUCAAGCGGCAUGUUUGAGCUCUUUUCCUUUUUAGGGUUGCGGCGGCUUCGCCGCCGCAGCCCUAAAAAGGAAAAAGCGAGUAGCGAGAGCCGGAAAAGCU
rnacentral:misc_RNA from 1 species